rnacentral:rRNA from 1 species
UACACACCGCCCGUCACAUCACGAAAGCCAGUUGUACUAGAAGCCGGUGACUCAACCGUAAGGGGAUAGCCCGUCCAAGGUAUGACUGGUGAUUGGGGUG